AGAAGAGGUGUGGUUCCACAACUGGGAACCGAACCUGGGCCACUGAAGCAGAGUGCACUGAACUUUAACGACUAGGCCAUGAGGGCUUGCUCUAAAAUAUUCCUUUCUUAAUAAAA